CGAUGAGGCCUCUUUUGCUUAAGCUUCCCCCAGUGCGACUGUGAGUCCACUUCCUUUUGCCUGAAAGAUGUAGCCCUCUGGGCUCCAGCUUCACGUCUGUCUGUCCCCUGCCGCGCUCCUGCCGUGAUGAUAGUGGAUUGGGCCUCUGUAACUGGUAAGAUUCCAGCUCUCUGGAGUUUUCAGCUUUUAAAGAUGCCUUCAUAAUUUCACACAAGGUCUAUGAGGAAGAGAAAGCCGUUACGACAGAUCAACCUUUGCACAUAUGAACGGCAACAAGACCUUAAGCAACCCCUGCAAAAGGGUCAUUUGAACACUGAAGGGGUCGUGACCCACCAGCUGAGAACCACCAUUGAUUCAGAGGCACUUCACUUGCCUCUCCUUCCCACCAGCAAGAAAAGGAAAUAAACAAAAUUGAACAAGUCCACGAGGAAAACGCAGGCCCUGCCUCACCAGGAUAACUUCCCAAGGCACAACAGCCUGUGAACACCACACAUGGGUUUUAGAACCCAACCCUCCAAAGGCUUUGCAGUCGGCUCUCCGUGUACACCCACACCGUAGCUCUGUAUAUACUCUGGAACGUUUACCAGUGUCCAGUCAGAGCACUUAGCACUGCAAGUGCAAAGAACUUUCUGGAAUGAAUCCUCAACAGAACUGGAAUUUCAGAGCUAAUCAUGGGGCUGGAGGAAAACUGAAGCACAGAAAUGGGCUUGGAAGGCAACUUGAUUUGUAUCUGGUUAAAAUUCUGCCAUGUACAAGAAGUGAAAAUAAAUGUUACUUCAUAUAAUCAGUUGCUGUGUCGACAAUGUCAAGUUGUCUGGGUGUAGUUAUGAGGAAAGCACGGUAGACCCUCAAGGACACCACGACUGGGCUCAGAGCCUCUUUCAUGUCUGCACAUGUAGGUGGGAUACAGCCCUGACACUCGGUCCUCCAUUCCAACAGCACACGCUUCCCCACACUGACUUUGCCUCCAUCCCUAACAUACCCAAAUUCUACUCUGGAAGGCUGAUUUUUCUAGAUGUUGAAAAGCCGGCUGAGGAAACUCUGAAACACAGCUUACUUCACCUCCAUGGCCACCUGUGGACUGUAGCUGGGGCAGGCCUCCUCCUAUAUGCAGGCAAAGAGCAAACUGAUAUCCAGUUACAUAACAAUGAGGGUAACUCUCCCCCUUUUGCGAAACUGGGAGAAAAUUCACACACAUUUAGAUUAACAUUUGUCUGAACAAUUUCAUGCAAAGCCCAGACAUGAUUUUAUAUGUAGCAUGCUACACGCUGGGCUGGGGUGUGUGCUGUCACUGACGACUUCCCCCGAAGUGUCGGGGAGGUGAUCUGUUAGGAAGCUGUAAACUCAGUAGGCUGGGAAGCAAUUGUACAAUUACUAUUCAGCUCACAUAGAAUACUAUACUCUCAGAAAGUGCGAACUGCAGAAGGGCAAGGUGUGAACUGCUUUUAUUGGGCUAGGACAGUAACUCCAGUUACGACAGCACACUUACAAGGUGAGCAGCAUAUU